rnacentral:rRNA from 1 species
CGAAAGCCUGACGGAGCAAUACCGCGUGAGGGAGGAAGGCUCUUGGGUCGUAAACCUCUUUUCUCAAGGAAGAAGAAAGUGACGGUACUUGAGGAAUAAGCAUCGGCUAACUCCGUGCCAGCAGCCGCGGUAAUACGGAGGAUGCAAGCGUUAUCCGGAAUGAUUGGGCGUAAAGGGUCUGUAGGUGGUACUGUAAGUCUGCUGUUAAAGAAUCACGCUCAACGUGAUCAAAGCAGUGGAAACUACAGAACUAGAGUGCGGUAGGGGCAGAAGGAAUUCCUGGUGUAGCGGUGAAAUGCGUAGAUAUCAGGAAGAACACCGGUGGCGAAAGCGUUCUGCUAGACCGCAACUGACACUGAGGGACGAAAGCUAGGGGAGCG